rnacentral:rRNA from 1 species
GUGUCAGCAGCCGCGGUAAUACGUAGGUGGCAAGCGUUGUCCGGAUUUACUGGGCGUAAAGAGCGCGCAGGCGGCCGAGUCAGUCGAAUGUGAAAGCCCCCGGCUCAACUGGGGAGGGUCAUUCGAUACUGCUCGGCUUGAAGAUGGGAGAGGGAAGCGGAAUUUCAGGUGUAGUGGUGAAAUGCGUAGAUAUCUGAAGGAACACCAGUGGCGAAGGCGGCUUUCUGGCCCAUUCUUGACGCUGAGGCGCGAAAGCUAGGGGAGCAAACGGGAUUAGAUACCCCGGUAGUCCUAGCCGUAAACGAUGAACACUAGAUGUUGGUGGUAUCAACCCCGCCAGUGUCGUAGCUAACGCAUUAAGUGUUCCGCCUGGGGAGUACGGCCGCAAGGCUAAA